GGAGAUCUGUCUGCUCGGGUUGGAUCCAAGCACACAAUUCAGUGUGCAGUCUCUCAGGAAGAGGGCUGUGAGAGUGGGCUAGGCGGAGGGUCAAGGCUCCAGCCAAGUGGACUGGGAUUCAGAAGAAUGGGACUUCAUCACCAUGAAGGGCGACGUGAGCGGGCCCUGGAGCCUUUUGUUAACUCCGCGCCUGCAUCUCCCUCUGUAAAAUGAGACCCUGUGCCCACACAGGACGAUGGAGAGGACCGGUUGAGACUGCCCAGGCAGAGCACUUCACAGACUACACCGUCAGUAAAUGCUGGAAAAAGAAAGCCCUAUGACCCCUGCUCUUCAGGAGGAAACAGAACAACCGGCCUUGUCAAAUUUGCUCUUAUAGCAUCGAAGAAGGCAGGAGAAGCGAGUGGCAGUGGUAUGAUCUGCAGGGGGCACCGGCUCUGCUCUGGAGUGCUGGGUCUGGUCAGCGGGAAUGCUGGCCUCUGGCUGAAGGCUUCAGCCUAUAAUAUUGCACUUCACCACCUGUCGCCCAGGCUUAUUAGUCCACGGCAGCAAAUGGACAUGCCUAAUGACAGACGCAGCCCUGUGUGCAGACCGUGAGGGCCUGAGGCUGGUUCCAAAAACAAUGUCCACCCAGAGGAUGGAGACAGGCUGGCCAAUCCAUUCUCAGGCUGGAAAGGAGGCCUGCGGCUCUGGACAGAUGGCUCUGACCUCUUUUGUCCUGCUCAGCCCGGGAGGAAUUGUCCUUCUGUGCAUGGAGCUCAUUCUCUUGCCCUUCUUCAACAAACCAGUGAAGAAAUCCUCCUGGUUUUGAAUAUAUAGUGGAAAGGGGGGAGGGCAAUUUGUAAGCCUCCUUAGGAGGGUGGGUCCUGCUCAAUGACAGUCCCUUCUGGAUACGCCACAGUGGCUGGGAGCUGGAUUGGAGAAGAGGAUCUGGGCACUAGAGAAAGCAAAGAGGGG
rnacentral:lncRNA from 1 species